AGAGCGAACGCUGGCGGCAGGCCUAACACAUGCAAGUCGAGCGCCGUAGCAAUACGGAGCGGCAGACGGGAGAGUAACACGUGGGAACGUACCCUUUGGUUCGGAACAACCCAGGGAAACUUGGGCUAAUACCGAAUAAGCCCUUACGGGGAAAGAUUUAUCGCCGAAGGAUCGGCCCGCGUCUGAUUAGCUAGUUGGUGGGGUAACGGCCCACCAAGGCGACGAUCAGUAGCUGGUCUGAGAGGAUGAUCAGCCUCAUUGGGACUGAGACACGGCCCAAACUCCUACGGGAGGCAGCAGUGGGGAAUAUUGGACAAUGGGCGCAAGCCUGAUCCAGCCAUGCCGCGUGGGUGAUGAAGGCCCUAGGGUUGUAAAGCCCUUUCGGCGGGGAAGAUAAUGACGGUACCGCAGAAGAAGCCCCGGCUAACUUCGUGCCAGCAGCCGC
rnacentral:rRNA from 1 species